CCUUUGGAGAACUAUAUAAACAAGAGUAAUAAUUAUAAAUUAUGAAAUUGGGUUCGUUGAAUAAGGAA
ncrna:unclassified sequences RAGATH-18 RNA